rnacentral:rRNA from 1 species
GUGGGGAAUCUUAGACAAUGGGGGAAACCCUGAUCUAGCCAUGCCGCGUGAGCGAUGAAGGCCUUAGGGUUGUAAAGCUCUUUCAGCUGGGAAGAUAAUGACUGUACCAGCAGAAGAAGCCCCGGCUAACUCCGUGCCAGCAGCCGCGGUAAUACGGAGGGGGCUAGCGUUGUUCGGAAUUACUGGGCGUAAAGCGCACGUAGGCGGACCGGAAAGUCAGAGGUGAAAUCCCAGGGCUCAACCGUGGAACUGCCUUUGAAACUCCUGGUCUUGAGGUCGAGAGAGGUGAGUGGAAUUCCGAGUGUAGAGGUGAAAUUCGUAGAUAUUCGGAGGAACACCAGUGGCGAAGGCGGCUCACUGGCUCGAUACUGACGCUGAGGUGCGAAAGCGUGGGGAGCAAACAGGAUUAGAAACCCGAGUAGUCC